rnacentral:rRNA from 2 species
GACGUAGGGUGCAAGCGUUGUCCGGAUUUACUGGGCGUAAAGAGCGCGUAGGCGGCUCGUUAAGUGAGAAGUGAAAGCUGUGGGCUCAACCCACAAACCGCUUUUCAUACUGGCGAGCUGGAGUGAUGCAGAGGUGGAUAGAAUUCCCGGUGUAGCGGUGAAAUGCGUUGAUAUCGGGAGGAAUACCCGUGGCGAAGGCGGUCCACUGGGCAUCAACUGACGCUGAGGCGCGAAAGCGUGGGUAGCAAACAGG